rnacentral:lncRNA from 1 species
AAAACUGUAAUAUUAUAAAAAUAUAUAUACAUAUUAAAUAAAGUUGGCCUUUUGAAUUAGAAAUAUUCAACAUAGGCCUCUUACAAAUAGCUGUUUUACAAUUCACAAUCAAAUAUACAUAGAGUUUAUGUAGCAAACAUCUCCAUGAAUUUGACCUACUAAAAGUCAACAAAGAAAUAAAACAAAAAAAUAAUACUUAUACCAGAAACAUAUCAAACAUAAGCCCAUAUAGAAAUACCCAUUUAUUCAUCAUUGUGGAGCCCGGCCCAUUUUUCCUUCAGGCCCGGGUUGCUUCAUUUCUUCCGCGCCUUGCAUAACCAUACCAGGAGGUCCAGGAUAACCCGGAACUCCAACAUAUCUUGGCCCAUAAUAAGCGGGCUGGACCGGCCCACCGCCACUUCUACCCGGCAUAUCAUAUGCCUCCCCACCCGAAGCGGGCCUCAUUCCGGGGUACAUUUGGCCCAUAUUCGAUACUUGAGGGUGAAGCAUGUGACCCGGAGGCGCCAUAAACUGUUGACCAUAUUGGGCCCGUAUCUGCAUCGGUUGAACCGGAAUAUUUUCUUGAGGCAUUGAACCCGGGGGAUGCAUAUAAUAAACCGGCAUCUCUUGAACCGGGGCUGGUGAUGGUGAUGACGUCCUCCGUAUAUAAUACACGUGCUGACCCGUAUAAUCCGUUUGUUUCAUAAUUAUCGGGUCAUUAGCCUCGGCAAAACGUUCAGUAACUGUUUCUUUCGGUUCGCUAACAACCGGGGCCGGGUUAUCCAGUUUAGUUUUAACGGGUCGGAGGUUCGGGACCGGGGCAGUUACCGUGGGGCCCAAUGAUGAUGAAGUCGAGCAAUACGGAGACAUCCGUGGAGCGGGCGACCCAGGAUCCGAAACCGAAACAUUAUCAUUAACCGCGGGUUUUGUUUUGGGUUUCGGGUCAUCCGGGUGGUCCAACCCGAAUAAAUAAUCGGGUACUUCUGACAACAUUGAUGAGACUUCGGAUCGCCCACGAUCCAGGCUGGCGCCCCCGUUAAGCGCGUCGAGAAACCAGUGUUCGCGCUUAACGGAGCCGUCUAGCAGCGAGCUGAUGCUGCUGGCUCGUGAGAGUGACUGGUCUGUUGGAAACAAGAAGAUCCGAAGCCGAGCCGUUUUGUUGUUGUGAGCCAAGCGAUCAUACUCGUCCAUCAUGUUUUCCACGUCCUCAUCACUCGUGACGGUGAUCAAGGCGUCCAAGUCUUCGUUUGGUAACUGGUACUUUACGCAUAUAUCGGUUGUACCUAGAGAAAGCUUGGAUAGUUUACUGAGAAGGGAGGCAUAGGUGGUGCUGUGGCGGAGUACGGUGACGAUGCGGGUGUCGCCACCAACAUACCGGAGUUGGUUAUCAUGAGGACGUGGUAAUAUCUUCCCACCAAAACUGCACAUGAAUCGGACACGUGCUUGCGCCGUGGUAUCGUCGUAUCCACCGACGGACAGGCUGUCCGAUCGCGGCGACGAAACCACGGAGUCGACGGUGGCAGAGGCUUGCUCCGCCGUGUAGUGGGUGGUUGCCAUUGCUGUGACCAAACGCAGAGUGUGGUUGUUAGAUUCCAUGGUUUAUAUAAGAUAAAAGGUUAGGUGGUGGGGUGUGUAUAUAAU